rnacentral:rRNA from 1 species
CCUACGGGAGGCAGCAGUGGGGAAUAUUGGACAAUGGGCGGAACCCUGAUCCAGCGACGCCGCGUGAGUGACGACGUAUUUCGGUAUGUAAAGCUCUAUCAGCAGGGAAGAAAGAAAUGACGGUACCUGCCUAAGAAGCCCCUUCUAACUACGUACCAGCAGCCGCGGUACUACGUAGGGGUCAAGCGUUCUCCGGAUUUACUGGGUGUAAAGGGAGCGUAGACGGCGAUGCAAGUCUGAAGUGAAAGGCGUGGGCCCAACCUCCGGACUGCUUUGGAAACUGUAUGGCUGGAGUGCAGGAGAGGUAAGUGGAAUUACUAGUGUAGCGGUGAAAUGCGUAGAUAUUAGGAGGAACACCAGUGGCGAAGGCGGCUUACUGAACUGUAACUGACGUUGAGGCUCGAAAGCGUGGGGAGCAAACAGGAUUAGAUACCCUAGUAGUC